GGAAAAUGGAGCCCAAGAGGAGAGGAACGAAAAUAUGCUUAAAACGCAUGUCCGCGUCGCCUUGCCGCCUGAUUACCUGUAGUACGGAAUCCACCCGAUACUUGGAACUGGUUAAAAGAAUUCUCAAAAAGACAGGAAUAAAGAAAGAAAGAAACAGUUUUAAAUUCUCACAUGCCUUUUCAAGUCAUUCUUACCAAUUCCAUAGCAAUAGAAAGAAAAAAGGAAUGUUUCCUGCAGUUAUGAAGACCCCUCAGUGCAGAGUUUGCACUGUGAAUUGCCUUUGGAGUUGAAGCAAGGAUCCAUCUGCGUUCCCUUUCAUGAUCUGCUCUGGGACCAACAGCCAGCC